GUGGGGAAUCUUAGACAAUGGGCGCAAGCCUGAUCUAGCCAUGCCGCGUGAGCGAUGAAGGCCUUAGGGUUGUAAAGCUCUUUCGUGGGGGAAGAUAAUGACUGUACCCCAAGAAGAAGCCCCGGCUAACUCCGUGCCAGCAGCCGCGGUAAUACGGAGGGGGCUAGCGUUGUUCGGAAUUACUGGGCGUAAAGCGCACGUAGGCGGACUGGAAAGUCAGGGGUAAAAUCCCGGGGCUCAACCCCGGAACUGCCUUUGAAACUCCCAGUCUUGAGUUCGAGAGAGGUGAGUGGAAUUCCGAGUGUAGAGGUGAAAUUCGUAGAUAUUCGGAGGAACACCAGUGGCGAAGGCGGCUCACUGGCUCGAUACUGACGCUGAGGUGCGAAAGCGUGGGGAGCAAACAGGAUUAGAUACCCGGGUAGUCC
rnacentral:rRNA from 1 species